GUGUCAGCCGCCGCGGUAAAACGUAGGAGGCAAGCGUUAUCCGGAUUCACUGGGCGUAAAGCGCGCGUAGGCGGUUGGGUAAGUCGGAUGUGAAAGCCCCUGGCUCAACUGGGGGAGGUCAUUCGAUACUGCUCGGCUUGAGGAUGAGAGAGGAGAGCGGAAUUCCCGGUGUAGCGGUGGAAUGCGUAGAGAUCGGGAGGAACACCAGCGGCGAAAGCGGCUCUCUGGCUCAUAUCUGACGCUGAGGGCGCGACAGCGUGGGGAGCAAACGGGAUUAGAUACCCCCGUAGUCC
rnacentral:rRNA from 1 species